rnacentral:rRNA from 1 species
UACGAAGGGGGCUAGCGUUGUUCGGAAUUACUGGGCGUAAAGCGCGCGUAGGCGGAUUUUUAAGUCAGGGGUGAAAUGCCAGGGCUUAACCUUGGAACUGCAUUUGGGACUGCAAGGCUAGAGUACGGCAGAGGGGGGUAGAAUUCCUGGUGUAGCAGUGAAAUGCGUAGAUAUCAGGAAGAACACCCGUGGCGAAGGCGGUUCUCUGGGACGGUACUGACGCUGAGACGCGAAAGCGUGGGGAGCGAACAGG